CCAACAACGACUUCCUGGUCGAUCCCAUUUCGAUAAUGCAAGUUUUAUUCCAUGGCGAAAUAUUUCCGCAAGAUGUUUAUAACACAUUAAUGACGUUAAUCGGCCGCAACCUGAAUUUUAUCAAGCGGAAUAUUGCGCCAAUAAUUUCAUAUUUGCGCCCUACGGUAGCGACCCAGAGCAGUUUAAUUAUACUCAACUGCCCGUUAUCGCAAGUCACCUGCCCGCCGCCUCGCUUAAGACGGUGGUGCACUUCGUUCAAAGAAUGCAAUCGUGCAAGUUUCGUCAAUAUGAUUACGGUGCCAUGAAAAAUCUCAUAAUCUACAAGUCGGUGGAACCUCCAGAGUACAAUUUAUCAAAUAUCGCACUACCGAUGGCGAUAUAUUACGGCAACAACGACUUGAUGGUAGUUCCCAUUGAUGUGAAGAAGUUCUACGAUUUACUGCCCAACAUAAUAGAUUUCUACGAAGUGCCAUGGCCCAAUUUUAGUCACGCGCACUUUAUAUUUGCUAAUGAUGCGCCUACAUUUCUGUAUGAAAGACUUUUUAAGAUCAUGAAAGGGAAAUAUUGAAACAAUAUAACAACGAUAUAUGAUAAUACAUUAAUCAUCUGAAUAUUUCACACUGAACUCUAGUAACAGAUAUACGAUUGACAACAUUUGCGUUAAUUUCUAUAAAAGCUGAUAAUAUAAUUUAGUAUUAUUUAGAAUUAGUAUCUACUUGUAAAGUAAUAAUAAUGAUUAUAUUCAUUUUCUUUAAGGGGAUCCUUCAGCAAAUGAC